AGCUCUUCGAGCAGUGCAUUGAAAGGCAACACACCUCCUGCAGCUACUCCUCUUAGUCACCGCGAGCUUUUACAUACCCUCACACCUCCAUAUUGCCCAGCCACAUCACUCAGCAUUCGCGCAGAUGGUCGUUUUUUUCGGACCCUACGGAUGUGUAGGAUGCCUCUGUGGCAUCGUGGUGGGGUGUCUGUGUGUGGUUGCUCUUAUCGUUGGGGGCUUUUUUUACUUCUGGUGGCGCAAAGAGAGUGCACGUAAACAGCGCCUCGCUGCGAAUGCACAGGCCGGAGGUCCUCAGUACGGUGAUUCGGUCCCUCCCGCUGGAGGCCCUUAUGGAGGACAGCCAAUGGCUCAGGGCGGGCCGGUGGCAUAUCAAGGGCCCGUCACUUAUGCGGGUCCAUCUGGUGUACCACCGACAAAUCCCGAAGAAGCGCCGAAAACCUACGCUUGACAUCAUCUCUUGCAGUAAUCACCGCCGUACCCAGGUGUAGUGUUGGAGCAACAACAGCAGCCGGGCAGUGCCACUGAUGCAUCGGCUGUGUAUGGCACGGCGCCCCACUAGGUGCAGACGAGCAAACAGCAGACGGGGAGUACGAGGCCUGUGGCACCUCCGCGAGCAUGGGUAGCGUAGUAGUCCGUGCUGCGUCGGCGAUAUCGCUCGGUCUUUCGGAGCCACUCCGCCUGAUGGGCCCGUGGUUACUGUACUGUUGUCUGGUUUUUGUUUCAUCCUACCGCGUUUGUCUGUCAGCGUCUGUGGUGGUGAUGCCGAUGAGCAACACCCAUCAUGUAUUUGUCAGUCUAAUUGUGCGCGAUGCUUUAGUUGCCUCUUGUUUCGCUGCGACAUACCGCCCCACCCCCUCCUCCUCUAUUGCUCUCUCCUCACAGGCCAUGGGUGUGUUGUGUGCCUCGGCUCUGCAAGCUGGAGGCGGCGUAUCGCCCUCUAUCCAUCCCCUUCACGCCGCUCUUCUUGCAUACGUCAUGCUAACUUUAGUUUCAACUCAGCAAUCUUCUACGGUAAUUUCUCUUCCUUCCGAUGCUCCUUUGUUUGCUCAUAAUUCGUUGCUUUUCUGUCUUCAUCCUAUCUCACCCUUUCUUUCUCUUGUGCUGAGUCUCUCUUCGCGCUGCGCGUGUCGGUGUCCACUUCCCUCCUUGCUGUUCUCUUGUAGAUCUCCGUGCUUUAACUCUCCCUGGUGAUAGUGCCCGUCGCCUCACGGUAGCGCCAGGGCCUAGUGCCCAGUGUGCGGGGACGCCAAGGGCCUGCAGCCCGCCCUGGAAGGGGGGUGGUGCGGCUGCGGACUCUCGAUGUCGGCGGACAGGCCUGGGCUGGCGCUGCGCGGAGGAGGCCUGCAGUCAUGAGCGCGUUUGCACCAGCUCACCACGAAUCGUGUCGGCGAUCAAACGAGUAGGCGCAUCCCACCUGCUGUGUUUCUGCUUUUGCUGCGUUGCGGCGGUGUUGGGUGGGCCCGCUCCUGGGCAUCGCCGUGGUGCAGCAGAGGUAGGUGAACGGUGGCCGUGUGUGUCUACUGGCUGACUUGUUCGUGGUACAAUGCCACGUUGAAGAAAAAAUGUCGAGUGGAAGCAAUAUCCUUGCUCCACCCGUCAGUGUUACUUCUCGGUUCCAGUCGUUUUGAAAACGAGCCCGAAUGACCUUAUGGUCCCUUCUCUCGUUAUUUCCACUGUCCGUGUCUCCAUAUU
rnacentral:misc_RNA from 1 species